GAUCCAGGGCGGGGUGGGCUGCCCGUCAGCCCCAGGACCUGUAGCAGCAGGAGGCUGACCCUUUUCUGAGAUAAACGCAACAAGGGAGCAAGCAGACUUCAGUUUUCCUCUAAAAAUGCAUCAAAGAGAUUAUCUCCUCUGGUCUGAGCCACCAAAAAAAAAAAAAAAAAAAAGAAAGAAAGAAAGAAAAGUAACUGCCACCUCAACGUGCAUUUUAAAGCUAAUUUCUACCAGGGCACUCUGUCUAGAAGGAGAUGGAAUGUAUGACAGUCCCCAUUUGGGACCAGCCACACUGCCCCAUUCCUGAUUCACUCAACAUGGAGUAUGCUGAUAGAAUCCCAUUCCGCUGAGCUCGGCCUGUCUGUAGGGUGGUAACGUUUCCAGCUGCACUGGUGUGUGCCCAUGUAGCUACGCUCACAUGCUGACCCACAGGGAAAGAAUCCUAGAAGUGACCAGCUUGGGGGGAGGGGUGAGACUCAAAUGGUGGGCCACACCCCACAUGACACCUGGCACAAGCUGAGCCUGGAUGCUUACAGCUGUCAAGACCACAGAAGACAGUUGUGGGUAGGAAGCAAUGAGCUGGAAGACGUGAACUCUAGUGACCCCCGCUUCUUUGGCUGAGAAAAUAAAGCAGAUGUUCUGCUCCAAACUUGAA